CCAGACUCCUACGGGAGGCAGCAGUGGGGAAUAUUGCACAAUGGGGGAAACCCUGAUGCAGCGACGCCGCGUGAGUGAAGAAGUAUUUCGGUAUGUAAAGCUCUAUCAGCAGGGAAGAAAAUGACGGUACCUGACUAAGAAGCCCCGGCUAACUACGUGCCAGCAGCCGCGGUAAUACGUAGGGGGCAAGCGUUAUCCGGAUUUACUGGGUGUAAAGGGAGCGUAGACGGCAUGGCAAGUCAGAUGUGAAAGCCCGGGGCUCAACCCCGGGACUGCAUUUGAAACUGUCAGGCUGGAGUGCAGGAGAGGUAAGUGGAAUUCCUAGUGUAGCGGUGAAAUGCGUAGAUAUCACGCAGAACUCCGAUUGCGAAGGCAGCGCACCGGCGCCCUACUGACGCUCAGGCACGAAAGCGUGGGUAUCGAACAGGAUUAGAUACCCCAGUAA
rnacentral:rRNA from 1 species